rnacentral:rRNA from 1 species
GAUGAACGCUGGCGGCGUGCCUAAUACAUGCAAGUCGAGCGAACAGACGAGGAGCUUGCUCCUCUGACGUUAGCGGCGGACGGGUGAGUAACACGUGGAUAACCUACCUAUAAGACUGGGAUAACUUCGGGAAACCGGAGCUAAUACCGGAUAAUAUAUUGAACCGCAUGGUUCAAUAGUGAAAGACGGUUUUGCUGUCACUUAUAGAUGGAUCCGCGCCGCAUUAGCUAGUUGGUAAGGUAACGGCUUACCAAGGCAACGAUGCGUAGCCGACCUGAGAGGGUGAUCGGCCACACUGGAACUGAGACACGGUCCAGACUCCUACGGGAGGCAGCAGUAGGGAAUCUUCCGCAAUGGGCGAAAGCCUGACGGAGCAACGCCGCGUGAUUGAUGAAGGUCUUCGGAUCGUAAAACUCUGUUAUUAGGGAAGAACAAAUGUGUAGGUAACUAUGCACGUCUUGACGGUACCUAAUCAGAAAGCCACGGCUAACUACGUG